rnacentral:rRNA from 1 species
GACGAACGCUGGCGGCGUGCCUAAUACAUGCAAGUAGAACGCACAGUUUAUACCGUAGCUUGCUACACCAUAAACUGUGAGUUGCGAACGGGUGAGUAACGCGUAGGUAACCUGCCUGGUAGCGGGGGAUAACUAUUGGAAACGAUAGCUAAUACCGCAUAAUAUUGAUUAUUGCAUGAUAAUUGAUUGAAAGAUGCUAUUGCAUCACUACCAGAUGGACCUGCGUUGUAUUAGCUAGUAGGUGAGGUAACGGCUCACCUAGGCGACGAUACAUAGCCGACCUGAGAGGGUGAUCGGCCACACUGGGACUGAGACACGGCCCAGACUCCUACGGGAGGCAGCAGUAGGGAAUCUUCGGCAAUGGACGAAAGUCUGACCGAGCAACGCCGCGUGAGUGAAGAAGGUUUUCGGAUCGUAAAGCUCUGUUGUAAGAGAAGAACGGGUGUGAGAGUGGAAAGUUCACACUGUGACGGUAUCUUGCCAGAAAGGGACGGCUAACUACGUG